ACCGAGUAGUCGUGGGAUAUCUAAGCUGCUAUAGUUUUCUAGGUAGCCUUUAGGAUUUUAUUUGUUUUUUCUUAUAGCUCUUGUUUUGCUUGAACUCCUUCGACCUUUGCUAGUUGUUUAUAAACAUGUUUUCCUUCGCUUUUCUUCAUCUUCGCUUCAUUUGUUCAUGCCCUAACCUUUAGACUUGAUAGACCAGUGGCAGGCAUACUACUUUUUUAUAUGCAGACAAGCUCGC
rnacentral:lncRNA from 1 species